rnacentral:rRNA from 1 species
AACGCGAAGAACCUUACCACAUCUUGACAUCCUCUGUCCCCUCUAGAGAUAGAGUUUUCCCUUUCGGGGGACAGAGUGACAGGUGGUGCAUUGGUUGUCGUCAGCUCGUGUCGUGUGAUGUUGGGUUAAGUCCCGCAACGAGCGCAACCCUUAUGCUUAGUUGCCAUCAAAUUUGCCCACUCUAAGUUGACUGCCGGUGAGAAACCGGAGGAAGGUGGGGAUGACGUCAAAUCAUCAUGCCCCUUAAGUUUUGGGCACACACGUGCUACAAUGGACAAUACAAAGCGCUGCGAAACCGCGAGGUCAAGCAAAUCCCAUAAAGUUGUUCUCAGUUCGGAUUCUAGUCUGCAACUCGACUAUUUGAAGCUGGAAUCGCUAGUAAUCGAUGAUCAGCAUGCGCCGGUGAAUACGUUCCCGGGCCUUGUACACACCG